GUCGAGAAUCUUCCGCAAUGGGCGAAAGCCUGACGGAGCGACGCCGCGUGGAGGACGAAGGCCUUCGGGUUGUAAACUCCUGUCACGAGUUAAGAAGGUGCUGCCACGAACAGUGGUAGUAUUUGACGUAAGCUCGAGAGGAAGCACUGGCUAACUCUGUGCCAGCAGCCGCGGUAAUACAGAGAGUGCAAACGUUGUUCGGAAUUACUGGGCUUAAAGCGCACGUAGGCUGUGUCGUAAGUGUCAGGUGAAAUCCCACGGCUCACCCGUGGAACUGCCUGGCAUACUGCGAUACUCGAGUGUGGUAGGGGAGAGCGGAACUCCUGGUGGAGCGGUGAAAUGCGUAGAUAUCAGGAGGAACACCGGUGGCGAAGGCGGCUCUCUGGUCCACAACUGACGCUGAGGUGCGAAAGCUAGGGGAGCAAACGGGAUUAGAUACCCGUGUAGUCC
rnacentral:rRNA from 1 species